GAUGAACGCUGGCGGCGUGCCUAAUACAUGCAAGUCGAACGCAUUUUCUUUCACCGUAGCUUGCUACACCGAAAGAAAAUGAGUGGCGAACGGGUGAGUAACACGUGGGUAACCUGCCCAUCAGCGGGGGAUAACACUUGGAAACAGGUGCUAAUACCGCAUAAUUCCAUUUACUGCAUGGUAGAUGGAUGAAAGGCGCUUUUGCGUCACUGAUGGAUGGACCCGCGGUGCAUUAGCUAGUUGGUGGGGUAACGGCCUACCAAGGCUGCGAUGCAUAGCCGACCUGAGAGGGUGAUCGGCCACACUGGGACUGAGACACGGCCCAGACUCCUACGGGAGGCAGCAGUAGGGAAUCUUCGGCAAUGGACGCAAGUCUGACCGAGCAACGCCGCGUGAGUGAAGAAGGUUUUCGGAUCGUAAAACUCUGUUGUUAGAAAAGAACAAGGAUGAGAGUGGAAAGUUCAUCCCUUGACGGUAUCUAACCAGAAAGCCACGGCUAACUACGUG
rnacentral:rRNA from 1 species